GUACACUAAUUUGAAGCUAAGAUAAAUGAUUUUAUAAAUAAACUACUUUAAUGAUUUAGGCUUUAAUAGGUGCAAAGUUCAUCAGUUUUCUAACAUGUUGUAUUGGAUUAUCCAAUACAAUGGCUGCAUAAUUUUUAGAGGUUGAACCAUCUGAUGCAGAAAGCGUGAUGCGGUAGUUGGUCCCUUGGGAUGUUGUUUCAGAUAACCCAUUUACGAUUUCUCGAAUUUCAGCUUAUUACCUUGCUUGUUGUACUCGUUUACAGCAAAGUUGCCAAUCUCAUUAAUAAUGGAUCAUUGGGGUUGAGGAAGGUAGCAUGAUUCAAGGACGCACAGGAAAAAAUAACAAGAAGGACAAUCAGAAAAAAAGACUGAGUUCUCAUUGUGAUUGUAACUAUGACUUUUUGAGUUUUUCAAAUUGGCUGGUAGUGAGUUAGUCUGAUCAAGUAAGGUUGUUAUAUAUACUAUACUCUAAUGAUAAAAACAUUGAAUUUCCUUUUUAUAAAACUUAAAACACAUUGUUAAAAGUAUAGAUUAUUGUAUUUAAAAAAACAAUAAAAGAUGUUUAGUCAAACAUCUCAUUAUCUAUUUUAUUAUUUAAAAUAAUUAAAUAUAAUUAGGUGUUAGUUAGUUGUAAGUUCUUUUUUAUGUUCUAUAAUUAUUGAUUAUCAAUCUCCAUAAAGAGGAAUUUAAAAUGAUUGUUUAUGUCGUCAUCGAUUAACUUUUAUUAUUAAAUAAUUUUCUUUAUCUAUUUUCUAAUAUAUAAUAUUUAUAAAUAUAAUUAUAUAAUAUAUAUAUAUAUAUAUAAUAUAUAUAUAAUUAUAUAAUAUAUAAUAUAUAAUUAUAUAAAGGUUUUUUUCUCUAUAUUGUUUGGAUUUUUUGACCCACUGUUUCACAAUUCAACUGCAACUAUUUUUAGUUAAUCCUUUCUAUAUGUGUUUAUAAAAGUAAAUAAGUAACUUUAUAUAAAAUAAUAAAAUAUAGAAAUAGCAUAAGAGAAACUAAUAUAUUUAGAAAUUUUGAGAUAAUAUUAUUAAUAAUUACGAAUAAUACUACUCCGUUUUUUAUAUAUGUCGCUUAAGAAAUUUUUGUACCACAAUAUAAGUUGUUUAUAAUAUCAAUAAGUCAUUAAUGUUAUUUUUCCUACUAUACCUUAAUAUUUAUUAUUCUCUCUUCUUUCAAUUAUAUCGAUUUAUCUUUUCAAUAUCAUUAAUGAAGGACAACUUUGUAAAAUCCUUAAUAAUUUCUCUAUUUAUACCAUAAUUAUUACAUUUCUUAAUACGUGUGAAAAGUCAAAAACGACUUAUAAUAAAAAACGGAGGGAGUAGUUUCAAUUUUACAAUUGUUCUAUUAGAAAUUUUGUAUUCGUCCAAUAUUUAAUAAGUUAAUCUUAUUGUACUAGUACCGUGUCAACUUAAAAAAAAAUAAUCAAAGUUUUUUUAUUUUUAUAAUUAAUAUAUUUAAUUAACUAAUAUUACGUAUAAGUUGAAUAUUUCUUCCCUUAAUUUAAAUUAAAAAUAUCAUUUUAUAUUUUUUGUUUAACUAAGAGUAUAAUCUAAUUUAAAAUGUACUAAUAUUUUCUAAUAUGGAAUUACAAUAGUUUAUUGAUAAAAAAAUUAUAAUAGUUUAAAAUUAAGCUACCUUUGAGUUUUUUUUAAAAUUUGAAUACAUCAAUAAAUUUUAAAAUGAUUAUAACAAACUCAACAAUCAAACCAAAUUUAGUUAUUUUAAAAAAUAUAAUCAUAAAAAAAUGUUCUUUUUUAAAAAUAAUUUUAAUGUUUUCAAAAUUUAUAAACUAUGAUUUUGGAGAUUGUUUUAGUUGGUAAGUUCUUCAAAUUUACUUCCCAUAAGUCUUGUAAAAAUGUAAUUCUUAUUUACUAGGUUCAAUUAGUAUAAUAAAGUAAAAUUAAAUUAUUUCUGAAUCCAAAAACACUAUUUAAAUAUAAUUUAGUCAAAAUUUCCUGUCACUUUUUUACUAUUCAAAAGAAUAACACACAUACUUGAGGUGACAUAUUAAAUUAUUUCUGAAUCCAAAAACACUAUUUAAAUAUAAUUUAGUCAAAAUUUCCUGUCACUUUUUUACUAUUCAAAAGAAUAACACACAUACUUGAGGUGACAUUGUAUAUUCAAAGAAUUGACGCUGAAUUCAUUCAAAUACAAUUCUAAAGUGUCACAUUAAUGCCAUUUUUAAAAUUAAAUGUAUAACUUACAUUUUUUUAAUCUGUGUACAUUAAUACAGUUUUACUACUACUAUUCUUUUAUUUAAGAGAUAAAUCAUUUUUUAAAUUCAUUGAAUAAUCAAUGUAUCUAAUCUAUAAACCGACCAAAUACCUUGAUUAUUCAAUGAACCUAAGAAUUGAAUUGUCUUUUAUAUAAAGGAAUGAAGCUAAAAUUAAAAAUUUAAAAAUAAUUGAGUUAAAUUAAUUAAUUAACUAUUUAUAUUUAUUUCUAUUUAAACAUGAUGAAUACAUAUAUCAAAUUUUGUAAAGUUUGGUGUAUAAAAGAAAGAAUACUACUAAUAACAUGGCACUAUAUGAUAAUAAUUUUACAAACUUCUUUGAUGAGAUUUUAUAUAUUUUCCUCAAUGUUAUAACAACGAGAGUUUUCCAUUAAAUUUAAACAACAAAACAUAUAAUUAUAAUGGAUAAUAUAAUAAGGUUUAUAUGUAUAUGGGGGUUUAGGUUGCUUUCAAUUGAUAUUAAAAAACUUCAUAUAAUUGUUUUAUGUACUAAUUAUUUAUGUUCAAGGAACCGCUCUUAUCUGUAUCAAGAAAAGAUAACCUUUAAAUGAAUAAAAACUAAUUUAAAGAUUUACAAACCUAUUAAAAUAAGUAAAUAACUUUUAAAAAAACAUUGGGAAUGACGAGUUAUUAUUAAGAGUUAAGCAAUAUUGAUUAUUUUAUAGUUUUUGAACAACGAUUUUGAUGUUAAUCCCUUGAUUUUAUAAAAUAAGACUUCUACUUUGCAGACACUUCAAAAUCUUCAAGAAGAAAAAUAUAUAAAAGGAGAUUUAUAAAUAAAAAAAUUAAGUUACAAAAAUGUUUAUUAUUUAUUCAUUUAAUUGUAUAUUCUUGUUUUUACAAUUAAUAUUAUAAAUUCUUUUGUAAUGAUUAUAAGUAACUUUCUAAAACUCUAAAAAAACUGAACAAGAAAUUUUUAUUAAAUACUUAUUACAUUAAAACCCAUCGAUAACCCCUACACAUGACUAUAGUAGGUUUUCAAUUAAAACAAACAUUGUUUCAGUAAGAAACUAUGAGUGCCCAUGAAAUUAUCUUUGAUUGAUGCACACGCUAUAAACUCUUGAUUUGUCAAAAAAAUAUUUAACAAACUAAAUUCUAUAAUUGAGUAGGAUUGUUUUUCUCUAAAUUUAUCCAAUGAAUUUGAUAUUAUUUUAUAAAUAUUAUAAUUUUUCACGGUUGAAUACUCCAACACUAAAAUUACAAAGUUAUAACACAAACUUUCUGGAGAGAGAAAACCACAUGAAGUUUUAGCGUAAUUUAAAUUGAUAAUUUAUUUAGAUAAAUAAUCAAUUACUGAUAUACAAAACAUACAUUUUAUUGGUACACUAAUUUGAAGGCUAAAGAUAAAUGAUUUUAUAAGAUAAACUACUUUAAUGAUUUAGGCUUUAAUAGGUGCAAAGUUCGCCAGUUUUCUAACAUGUUGUAUUGGAUUAUCCAAUACAAUGGCUGCAUAAUUUUUAGAGGUUGAACCAUCUGAUGCAGAAAGCGUGAUGCGGUAGUUGGUCCCUUGGGAUGUUGUUUCAGAUACACCAACAGUUUUCUAACAUGUUGUAUUGGAUUAUCCAAUACAAUGGCUGCAUAAUUUUUAGAGGUUGAACCAUCUGAUGCAGAAAGCGUGAUGCGGUAGUUGGUCCCUUGGGAUGUUGUUUCAGAUACACCAUUUACGACCUUCUCGAAUUUCAGCUUAUUACCUUGCUUGUUGUACUCGUUUACAGCAAAGUUGCCAAUCUCAUUAACUAAUGGAUCAUUGGGGUUGAGGAAGGUAGCAUGAUUCAAGGACGCACAGGAAACAAUAACAACAAGGACAAUCAGAAAAAAACACUGAGUUCUCAUUGUGAUUGUAACUAUGAUUUUUUGAAGUUUUUCAAAUUGGCUGGUAGUGAGUUAGUCUGAUCAAGUAAAGUUGUUAUAUAUACUAUACUCUAAUGAUAAAAACAUUGAAUUUCAUUUUUAUAAGAACUUAAAACAAUAUCGUUGUAAAGUAUAGCAUAUUGAUAUUUAAAAAAACAAUAAAAGAUGUUUAGUCAAACAUCUCAUUAUCUAUUUUAUUAUUUAAAGUAAUUAAAUUAUAUAUAUAUAUAUAUAUUUAAAUAAUAUAUUUAGAAAAUAGAUAAAGAAAUUAUUUAAUAAUAAAAGUUACAUCGGAGACAUAAAAUCAUUUUANGUCCUUCUUGUUAUUUUUUCCUGUGCGUCCUUGAAUCAUGCUACCUUCCUCAACCCAAUGAUCCAUUAGUUAAUGAGUUGCAACUUUGCUGUAAACGAGUACAACAAGCAAGGUAAUAAGCUGAAAUUCGAGAAGGUCUAAAUGGUGUUCUGAAACAACAUCCCAAGGGACCAACUACCGCAUCACGCUUUCUGCAUCAGAUGGUUCAACUCUAAAAAUUAUGCAGCCAUUGUAUUGGAUAAUCCAAUACAACAUGUUAGAAAACUGAUGAACUUUGCACCUAUUAAAGCCUAAAUCAUUAAAGUAGUUUAUUUUAUAAAAUCAUUUAUCUUUAGCCUUCAAAUUAGUGUACCAAUAAAAUGUAUGUUUUGUAAUCAGUAAUUGAUUAUUGAUCUAAAUAAUUAUCAAUUUAAAUUACGCAAAACUUCAUGUGGUUUUCUCUCUCCAGAAAGUUUGUGUAUAACUUUGUAAUUUUAGUGUUGGAGUAUUCAACGCAGGAAAAAUUAUAAUAUUUAUAAAAUAAUAUCAAAUUCAUUGGAUAAAUUUAGAGAAAAACAAUCCUACUCAAUUAUAGAAUUUAGUUUGUUAAAUAUUUUUUUGACAAAUCAAGAGUUUAUGUGUGUGAAUCAAUCAAAGAGAAUUCAUAGCCUCAUAUUUCUUACUGAAACAAUUUGUUUUAAUUGAAAACCUACUAUAAGUCAUGUGUAGGGUUAUCGAUGGGUUUUAAUGUAAUAAGUAUUUAAUAAAAAUUUCUUGUUCAGUUUUUUUAGAGUUUUUGAAAGUUACUAUAAUCAUUACAAAAGAUUAAUAAUAUUAUUGUAAAAACAAGAAUAUACAAAUGAAUAAAUAAUAAACAUUUGUAACUUAAUUUUUUAUUUAUAAAUCUCCUUUUAUAUAUUUUUCUUCUUGAAGAUUUUGAAUGUCUGCAGAGUAGAGUCUUAUUUUAUAAAAUCAAGGAUUAACAUCAAAAUCGAUGUUCAAAAACUGUAAAAUAAUCAAUACUCUUAACUCUUAAUAAUAACUCUUCAUUCCCAAUGUUUUUUUAAAAUUAUUAUAAUCGGUUUGUAAAUCUUUAAAUUAGUUUAUUCAUUUAAAGGUUAUCUUUCUUGAUAACAAUAAGAGCGGUUCCUUGAACAUAAAUAAUUAGUACAUAAAACAAUUAUAUGAAAUUUUUUAAUAUCAAUUGAAAGCAACCAAACCCCCUAUACAUAUAAACCUUAUUAUAUUAUCCAUUAUAAUUAUAUGUUUUGUUGUUUAAAUUUAAUGAAAACUCUCGUUGUUAUAACAUUGAGGAAAACAAUAUAAAAUCUCAUCAAAGAAGUUUGUAAAAUUAUUAUCAUAUAGUGCCAUGUUAUUAGUAGUAUUCUUUCUUUUAUACACCAAACUUUACAAAUUUGAUAUAUGUAUUCAUCAUGUUUAAAUAGAAAUAAAUAAAUAUAAUUAAUUAAACUCAAUUAUUUUUAAAAUUUUAAUUUUAGCUUCAUUCCUUUAUAUAAAAGACAAUUCAAUUCUUAGGUUCAUUGAAUAAUCAAUGUAUUUGGUCGGUUUAUAGAUUAGAUACAUGAUUAUUCUGAAUUUAAAAAAUGAUUUAUCUCUUAAAUAAAAGAAAAGUAGUAAAACUUUAUUAUUUACACAGAUUAAAAAUUAAGUUAUACAUUUAAUUUUAAAAAUGGCAUUAAUGUGUCACUUAGAAUUGUAUUUAAGGGAUUCAUGUCAUUCUUAAUAUACAAUGUCACCUCAAGUAUGUGUGUAUUAUUUUUUGAAUAUAAAAAAGUGACAGGAAAUUUGACUAAAUUAUAUUUAAAUAGUGUUUUUGGAUUAGAAAUAAUUUAUUUUACUUUAUUAUACUAAUUAACCUAUAAAUAAGAAUUACAUUUUACAAGACUUAUUGAGUAAUUGACAACUUACCAACUAAAAAAUCUCCAGAACAUAGUUUAUAAAUUUGAAAACUUAAAAUUAUUUUUAAAAAAAACAUUUUUUUUAUUAUUAUAAUUUUAAAAUACCAAAUUUGGUUGAUUGUGAGUUUGUAUAAAUUUUAAAAUUUAUUGAUGUAUUCAAAUUUAAAAAAAACUCAAAGGUAGCUAAUUUUAAACUAUUAUAUUUUUUAUUAAUAAACUAUUGUAAUUCUCAUUUAGAAAAAUUAUUACAUUUUAAAUUAAAUUAUACUCUUAGUUAAAAAAAAAAUAUAAAUGAUAUUUUUAAUUUAAUUAAGGAAGAAAAUUCAAUUAUACGUAAUAUUAGUUAAUUAAAUAUAUUAAUUAUAAAAAUAAAAAAAACUUUGAUUUUUUUUAAGUUGACACGGUACUAGUACAAUAAGAUUAACUUAUUAAAUUAGGGACGAUACAAAUUUCAUAUGGACAAAUUGUAAAAUUGAUAACUAUUAAGUUAUUAUAAUAAUAUUAUCUCAAAUUUCUAAAUUAUAUAUUUCUUUCUUAUGCUAUUUCUAUAUUUAUUAUUUUAUAUAAAGUUACUUAUUUUCUUUUAUAAACACAUAUAGAAAGGAUUAAUAAAAAUAUUGCAUUGAAUGUUGAAACAGUGGGUCAAAAAAUCCAAACAAUAUAAGAAAAAACCUUUAUAUAUAUAUAUAUUAUAUAUAAUAUAUAUAUAUAUAUAUAUAUAUAUAUAUAUAUAUAUAUAUAUUAUUUAUAAUAUAUAAUAAUAAUAUAUAUUUAUAAUAUAUAUAGAUAUAAAUAUUAAUAUAUAUACAUAUAUAUAUAUAUAUUAUAUAUAUAUAUAAUAUUAUAUUUAAAUAUAUAUUAUAUAGAUAUAUAUAUAUAUAUAAAUAUAUAUAUAUCUAUAUAUAUUUAUACUAUAUAUAAUAUCUAAUAUAUUAUACUAUAUAUUAUAUAUAUAAUAUUUAUUUAAUAUAAUAAUAAAUAAAAAAAUAAUAUAUAUUUAUAUGUUUAUAUAGUUUUUAAUAUUAAAAAGAAAUUAAUUAUAUAUAGAAUUAAUUAAUAGAUAACAACCUUACUUGAUCAGACUAACUCACUACCAGCCAAUUUGAAAAACUUAAAAAGUCAUAGUUACAAUCACAAUGAGAACUCAGUCUUUUUUUCUGAUUGUCCUUUUGUUAUUUUUCCUGUGCGUCUUGAAUCAUGCUACCUUCCCAACCCAAUGAUCCAUUAGUUAAUGAGUUGGCAACUUGCUGUAAACGAGUAACAAGCAACAGGUAAUAAGCUGAAAUUCGAGAAGGUCGUAUGGUGUAUCUGAAACAACAUCCCAAGGGACAACCACCGCAUCACCUUUCUGCAUCAGAUGGUUCAACCUCUAAAAAUUAUGCAGCCAUUGUAUUGGAUAAUCCAAUACAACAUUUAGAAAACUGAUGAACUUUCACCUAUUAAAGCCUAAAUCAUUAAAGUAGUUUAUUUUAUAAAAUCAUUUAUCUUUAGCCUUCAUUAGUGUACCAAUAAAAUGUAUGUUUUGUAUAUCAGUAAUUGAUUAUUGAUCUAAAAAUUAUCAAUUUAAAUACGCUAAAACUUCAUGUGGUUUUCUCUCUCCAGAAAGUUUGUGUUAUAACUUUGUAAUUUUAGUGUUGGAGUAUUCAACCGAGAAAAAUUAUAAUAUUUAUAAAAUAAUAUCAAAUUCAUUGGAUAAUUUAGAGAAAAACAAUCCUACUCAAUUAUAGAAUUUAGUUUGUUAAAUAUUUUUUUGACAAAUCAAGAGUUUAUGUGUGUGGAAUCAAUCAAAGAUAAUUUCAUAGCAUCAUAUUUUCUUACUGAAACAAGUUUGUUUUAAUUGAAAACCUACUAUAAGUCAUGUGUAGGGUUAUCGAUGGGUUUUAAUGUAAUAAGUAUUUAAUAAAAAUUUCUUGUUCAGUUUUUUAGAGUUUUGAAAGUUACUAUAAUCAUUACAAAAGAAAUAAUAAUAUUAUUGUAAAAACAAGAAUAUACAAAAAAUGAAUAAAUAAUAAACAUUUUGUAACUUAAUUUUUUAUUUAUAAAUCUCCUUUUAUAUAUUUUUCUUCUUGAAGAAUUUGAAUGUUGCAGAGUAGAGUCUUAUUUUAUAAAAUCAAGGGAUUAACAUCAAAAUCGAUGUUCAAAAAUGUAAAAUAAUCAAUACUCUUAACUCUUAAUAAUAACUCUUCAUUCCAAUGUUUUUUUAAAAGUUAUAAUCUAUUUGUAAAUCUUUAAAUUAGUUUUAUUCAUUUAAAGUUAUCUUUCUUGAUACAAUAAGAGCGGUUCCUUGAACUAAAAUAAUUAGUACAUAAAACAAUUAUAUGAAAUUUUUUAAUAUCAAUUGAAAGCAACUCAAACCCCUAUACAUAUAAACCUUAUUAUAUUUCCAUUAUAAUUAUAUGUUUUGUUGUUUAAAUUUAAUGAAAACUCUCGUUGUUAUAACAUUGAGGAAAAAUAUAAAAUCUCAUCAAAGAAUGUUGAUAAUUAUAUUUUAUUAUUUUAUAUAAUAUAUCUUUCUUUUAUAAACACAGUAUAGAAAGAAUUAAUUAAAAAUAGUUGCACUUGAAUUGUGAAACAGUGGCGUUCAAAAAAUCCAAAACAAUAUAGAGAAAAAAGACCUUUAUUUUAUAUAUAUGAUAUUUAAUAUAUAUAUAUAUUAUAUAUAUAUAUAUAUAUAUAUAUAUAUAUAUAUAUAUAUAUAAUAUAUAUAUAUUAGAUAUAUAAAAUUUAAAUAUAUAUAUUAGAAAAAUAGAUUAAAUAAAAUUUUUAAUAAUAAAAGUUACAUCGAUGACGACAAAAACAAUCGCAUUUUAAUUCCUCUUUAUGGAGAUUGAUAAUCAUUAAUUAUGGAACAUAAGAAAAAAACAUUACAACGAACUAAACACCUAAUUAUUAUAUAUAUAAAGGUUUUUUUCUCUAUAUUGUUUGGAUUUUUUGACCCACUGUUUCACAAUUCAACUGCAACUAUUUUUAGUUAAUCCUUUCUAUAUGUGUUUAUAAAAGUAAAUAAGUAAUUUUAUAUAAAAUAAUAAAAGAUAGAAAUAGCAUAAGAAGAAAACUAAUAUAUUUUGAAAUUUUGAGAUAAUAUUAUUAAUAAUUACGAUAAUAGUUAUCAAUUUUACAAUUGUUCUAUAUGAAAUUUUGUAUUUGUCCCAAUAAUUUAAUAAGUUAAGUCUUAUUGUACUAGUAACGUGUCAACUUAAAAAAAAUAAUCAAAGUUUUUUUUAUUUUUAUAAUUAAUAUAUUUAAUUAACUAAUAUUACGUAUAAGUUGAAUAUUUCUUCCCUUAAUUUAAAUUAAAAGUAUCAUUUUAUAUUUUUUGUUUAACUAAGAGUAUAAUCUAAUUUAAAAUGUACUAAUAUUUUCUAAGAUAGAAUUACAAUAGUUUAUAAUAAAAAAAUAAUAAUAGUUUAUAAUUAAGCUACCUUUGAGUUUUUUUUUUAAAAUUUGAAUACAUCAAUAAAUUUUAUAAUGAUUAUAACAAACUCAACAAUCAAACCAAAUUUGGUUAUUUUAAAAUAUAUAAUCAUAAAAAAAAAUGUUCUUUUUUAAAAAUAAUUUUAAAGUUUUCAAAAUUUAUAAACUAUGAUUCUGGAGAUUAUUUAGUUGUAUAGUUUGUCAAUUUAACUUGUCAAAGUAAGUCUUGUAAAAAUGUAAUUCUUAUUUACUAGGUUGAAUUAGUAUAAUAAAGUAAAAUUAAAUUAUUUCUGAAUCCAAAAACACUAUUUAAAUAUAAUUUAGUCAAAAUUUCCUGUCACCUUUUUACUAUUCAAAAGAAUAACACACAUACUUGAGGUGACAUUGUAUAUUCAAAGAAUUGACGAUGAAUCCCUUCAAAUACAAUUCUAAAGUGACACAUUAAUGCCAUUUUUCAAAUUAAAUGUAUAACUUAAAUUUUUUUAAUCUGUGUAGUUUAAAAUAAAGUUUUACUACUGCUAUUCAUUUAUUUAAGAGAUAAAUCAUUUUUUAAAUUCAUUGAAUAAUCAAUGUAUCUAAUCUAUAAACCGACCAAAUACAUUGAUUAUUCAAUGAACCUAAGAAUUGAAUUCUCUUUUAUAUAAAGGAAUGAAGCUAAAAUUAAAAUUUUAAAAAUAAUUGAGUUUAAUUAAUUAUAUUUAUUUCUAUUUAAACAUGAUGAAUACAUAUAUCAAAGUUUGUAAAGUUUGGUGUAUAAAAGAAAGAAUACUAGUAAUAACAUGGCACUAUAUGAUAAUAAUUUUACAAACUUCUUUGAUGAGAUUUUAUAUGUUUUCCUCAAUGUUAUAACAACGAGAGUUUUCCAUUAAAUUUAAACAACAAAACAUAUAAUUAUAAUGGAUAAUAUAAUAAGGUUUAUAUGUAUACGGGGGUUUGGGUUGCUUUCAAUUGAUAUUAAAAAAUUUCAUAUAAUUGUUUUAUGUACUAAUUAUUUAUGUUCAAGGAACCGCUCUUAUGUGUAUCAAGAAAAGAUAACCUUUAAAUGAAUAAAAACUAAUUUAAAGAUUUACAAACCGAUUAAAAUAAGUAAAUAACUUUUAAAAAAACAUUGGGAAUGAAGAGUUAUUAUUAAGAGUUAAGCAGUAUUGAUUAUUUUACAGUUUUUGAACAUCGAUUUUGAUGUUAAUCCCUUGAUUUUAUAAAAUAAGACUACUACUCUGCAGACACUUCAAAAUCUUCAAGAAGAAAAAAUAUAUAAAAGGAGAUUUAUAAAUAAAAAAAUUAAGUUACAAAAAUGUUUAUUAUUUAUUCAUUGAAUUGUAUAUUCUUGUUUUUACAAUUAAUAUUAUUAAUUCUUUUGUAAUGAUUAUAAGUAACUUUCAAAAACUCUAAAAAAACUGAACAAGAAAUUUUUAUUAAAUACUUAUUACAUUAAAACCCAUCGAUAACCCCUACACAUGACUAUAGUAGGUUUUCAAUUAAAACAAACAUUGUUUCAGUAAGAAAAUAUGAGUGCUCAUGAAAUUAUCUUUGAUUGAUUCACACACAAUAAACUCUUGAUUUGUCAAAAAAAUAUUUAACAAACUAAAUUCUAUAAUUGAGUAGGAUUGUUUUUCUCUAAAUUUAUCCAAUGAAUUUGAUAUUAUUUUAUAAAUAUUAUAANUUUAAUCUGUGUAGUUUAAAAUAAAGUUUUACUACUACUAUUCUUUUAUUUAAGAGAUAAAUCAUUUUUUAAAUUCAUUGAAUAAUCAAUGUAUCUAAUCUAUAAACCGACCAAAUACAUUGAUUAUUCAAUGAACCUAAGAAUUGAAUUGUCUUUUAUAUAAAGGAAUGAAGCUAAAAUUAAAAUUUUAAAAAUAAUUGAGUUUAAUUAAUUAUAUUUAUUUCUAUUUAAACAUGAUGAAUACAUAUAUCAAAGUUUGUAAAGUUUGGUGUAUAAAAGAAAGAAUACUAGUAAUAACAUGGCACUAUAUGAUAAUAAUUUUACAAACUUCUUUGAUGAGAUUUUAUAUGUUUUCCUCAAUGUUAUAACAACGAGAGUUUUCCAUUAAAUUUAAACAACAAAACAUAUAAUUAUAAUGGAUAAUAUAAUAAGGUUUAUAUGUAUACGGGGGUUUGAGUUGCUUUCAAUUGAUAUUAAAAAAUUUCAUAUAAUUGUUUUAUGUACUAAUUAUUUAUGUUCAAGGAACCGCUCUUAUGUGUAUCAAGAAAAGAUAACCUUUAAAUGAAUAAAAACUAAUUUAAAGAUUUACAAACCGAUUAAAAUAAGUAAAUAACUUUUAAAAAAACAUUGGGAAUGAAGAGUUAUUAUUAAGAGUUAAGCAGUAUUGAUUAUUUUACAGUUUUUGAACAUCGAUUUUGAUGUUAAUCCCUUGAUUUUAUAAAAUAAGACUACUACUCUGCAGACACUUCAAAAUCUUCAAGAAGAAAAAAUAUAUAAAAGGAGAUUUAUAAAUAAAAAAAUUAAGUUACAAAAAUGUUUAUUAUUUAUUCAUUGAAUUGUAUAUUCUUGUUUUUACAAUUAAUAUUAUUAAUUCUUUUGUAAUGAUUAUAAGUAACUUUCAAAAACUCUAAAAAAACUGAACAAGAAAUUUUUAUUAAAUACUUAUUACAUUAAAACCCAUCGAUAACCCCUACACAUGACUAUAGUAGGUUUUCAAUUAAAACAAACAUUGUUUCAGUAAGAAAAUAUGAGUGCUCAUGAAAUUAUCUUUGAUUGAUUCACACACAAUAAACUCUUGAUUUGUCAAAAAAAUAUUUAACAAACUAAAUUCUAUAAUUGAGUAGGAUUGUUUUUCUCUAAAUUUAUCCAAUGAAUUUGAUAGUAUUUUAUAAAUAUUAUAAUUUUUCUCGGUUGAAUACUCCAACACUAAAAUUACAAAGUUAUAACACAAACUUUCUAGAGAGAGAAAACCACAUGAAGUUUUAGCGUAAUUUAAAUUGAUAAUUUAUUUAAAUCAAUAAUCAAUUACUGAUAUACAAAACAUACAUUUUAUUGGUACACUAAUUUGAAGGCUAAAGAUAAAUGAUUUUAUAAGAUAAACUACUUUAAUGAUUUAGGCUUUAAUAGGUGCAAAGUGCAUCAGUUUUCUAACAUGUUGUAUUGGAUUAUCCAAUACAAUGGCUGCAUAAUUUUUAGAGGUUGAACCAUCUGAUGCAGAAAGCGUGAUGCGGUAGUUGGUCCCUUGGGAUGUUAUUUCAGAUACACCAUUUACGAUGUCAUAUGGUGAAUUAACUUUGUGUAUUUUUGCUUUGGAAAGCAAAUGUCGCGGAUAGCAAGAGUCGCCACCGACUUUUCUUUUAUCCAAUAAGGAAAGGCGGAAAAGAACAGGAAUCUGGAACUAAUCUAAAACCCAAGCCCAGGUACAUUAUACAAAGGGAAGGUGUUAGCACCCUUUGUAUCCAUGGUUAUCCAUGGGCUCUUAAUUGCUUGAUCACUUAUGUUUUUCUUAUCUGAAAAAAGUGUUUGAGAACUGUUUAGAAAGUGUUUUGAAAAGAGAGUUUAACUUUGUAAUGAUUCUUGUACGAAUGUAUACAAAGUAUUUAUCUCGUUUAAUUUUGAAAGUUGUUUGGAAAAAUAUAACUGGGCAAUGAUUCUAGUACGAAUGUAUACCAAGUGGUGAUUUUCUAAUAGAUGUUUUGCAAAGUGUGAGGUGUGAAAAGUAUUUUAAGUUGUGAGUCAGCAAUUAAGAGUUACACCUACCCAAGGCCUUUCUGGGUAUUUCCUAUCCUUAGGAGGGUAAAACUGUCCUUACUAUUGAGAAGUAAGUAGUCUUAUCCUUUGGAUGUAAAGGGACAUCGUAGGGUCGUCGAUUGGUCAUCGAAGGUAACAUUUGUAAGGAUACCUUAGCAUUCGAAGGGACGAUCAUCAUUUAACCGUAGGCUACACCGAAGGGUCAUCGAGGGACAAAAUCGUAUUUUCGAAGGCAACAUCCGAGGGACCAUGAUUUAUUUUAUGAUGAUUUAANGGUCUUUGCUAAGGUAUCCCCACAUUCGCGGGACAUGACCGUAAUACCGUAAGGCAAACAAAGAGAGGGCCAAGAUCAUAUAUUCAAAGGCAACAUUUGCAAUCAGUUAGGUAAUUAGGAUGAAUCUCCACAAGGGUAUCCCACAAAUAAAGUGGAAUACCUAGCAAGCUACCUUCUUCGGGAGUAUAUGAGCCCUCACAAAAUUCAGCAAACAGGUCAGAAUACCAAAUGGGGUGCGGUUAAUAGUUGCACCGAACAAAGGAAUCGCAGUAGUAAUAAUGUCAGGCAAAUAAUACACAGCUAUGAUAAAACAUGUCAGAUAAGCACAGAACGGAAUAGAAAAAAAACAGCGACUGUCAUGUUCGCUACUGCCUCGCCUAGCGAAGGCUUAGGGAACACUCGCUACAUGUUCGCUUAGCGAUGUGCUAGCGAACGGCUGCGGGUUUUGAGUUUAAUAACAGUACGAUUUCAACAAUCUCCAAACCCUAUGGCAUCCAUUACAAAAAUUACAUGGUUAAACAUUCAAGACAUCCUUGCAUGCAAAACUUAAGGUAUAUUUAUAAAUUCAAUCAUAAUGUCACAUGUAAAUUGGAAGCAUAAAGCGGUAGUGGUAGUGCAAACCUGUUUGCAAUUGAAUUGCCACGUUGAAUUGGUAGAUCACUCUUAGGGUUGGUAUCGGAUUGAGUUGGGCGGAGGUGACCUUUGUGCAGAUGAGUUUCCUUCAGGGUUUCCUUUAGGGUUGCUCUGAAUUCUCUUGGUUAGCCUCCAGGGUUUGCUCCGAUUGCCUUUGUUAGGGUUUGCUUGCUAGGGUUUUUUUCUCUCUCCGUCCCCUUUUUCUAAAUGAGGUCUUGGUAUUUAUAAUAGUUUUUGUGACCUAAUGGGCUCAGAAUGAAGCCCAAAAUUUCUGUUAUUCGCAAGCUUCGCUAGGCGAGUGGUACAGCGAAGGUUCGCUAGGCGAAUGAUUUUGCUCGCCUAGCGAGCAAGCCAUUUUAAGUCAUUUUCUGGAUUUGGCCACCUGUGUGCUGGGUCUUUGUUACUUUAAGACCAAUGUCUUGAAAAAUGAGUUGGAGUGCCUUGAGAAAUGUCUUGCAAGGUUAACGGGCAAAUUUUGGGGUAUGACAUAUGACCUUCUCGAAUUUCAGCUUAUUACCUUGCUUGUUGUACUCGUUUACAGCAAAGUUGCCAAUCUCAUUAACUAAUGGAUCAUUGGGGUUGAGGAAGGUAGCAUGAUUCAAGGACGCACAGGAAAAAAUAACAAGAAGGACAAUCAGAAAAAAAGACUGAGUUCUCAUUGUGAUUGUAACUAUGACUUUUUGAAGUUUUUCAAAUUGGCUGGUAGUGAGUUAGUCUGAUCAAGUAAGGUUGUUAUAUAUACUAUACUCUAAUGAUAAAAACAUUGAAUUUCCUUUUUAUAAGAACUUAAAACAACAUUGUUAAAAAG
rnacentral:lncRNA from 1 species